GCCGAGGUGGCGGAACAGGCAGACCCGCAAGGACGUGCGGGUUCGACUCCCGCUCUCGGCACCA
rnacentral:tRNA from 1 species